GACGAACGCUGGCGGCGUGCCUAAUACAUGCAAGUAGAACGCACAGUUUAUACCGUAGCUUGCUACACCAUAGACUGUGAGUUGCGAACGGGUGAGUAACGCGUAGGUAACCUGCCUGGUAGCGGGGGAUAACUAUUGGAAACGAUAGCUAAUACCGCAUAAUAUUAAUUAUUGCAUGAUAAUUAAUUGAAAGGUGCAAUUGCACCACUACCAGAUGGACCUGCGUUGUAUUAGCUAGUAGGUGAGGUAACGGCUCACCUAGGCGACGAUACAUAGCCGACCUGAGAGGGUGAUCGGCCACACUGGGACUGAGACACGGCCCAGACUCCUACGGGAGGCAGCAGUAGGGAAUCUUCGGCAAUGGACGAAAGUCUGACCGAGCAACGCCGCGUGAGUGAAGAAGGUUUUCGGAUCGUAAAGCUCUGUUGUAAGAGAAGAACGGGUGUGAGAGUGGGAAAG
rnacentral:rRNA from 1 species